AUUUUCGAAAAGUACAUAAAAUGCCCGAUAUGUACUUUUUGAAAAUAAAAACACUUUUUUUUGUUUCUUUGCUUUAUUUGCCUUUUAUUUUACCUACAAAUGUGUCAGAUCGUUUUGCCUGACCCUGUACAAUAAGUUUUGGAGAGGAAUGUUUGUUUGAAUGUCAUCAUCCAAAGUGCGCAAAAAUCUUCGCUUCCCAAAACGUGUAUUCAAUAUUGUUAAAAGAAAAGGUGAUGGAACCGAAUAUACAACAUGACCCUGUCACAACUUUUGACGAAUGUGUUGCAACCAUAACAUUCGAGACAAAUGAAUAUUUGCUCAACGCAAUCGAGUUCAUCAGUUCAAACAUCAAAUGCUUUGUCUCUACAGUAAAGUGCAUUCAAUUAAAUAUAUGUUGAAGAUGA